AAAAAAAAAUGUUAAUAGAUCAAGUCCAAGGUUAUUCGAAAUGUCAAAAAUCAUCCACAGAAAACCCUAACCUAAAAUUAUGUGCAGUGAAAAUGAGCAGGCACUUUGUUCAAGUUUGAAAAUAGAAAUAAAUGUUUGAAUGGUUUGCAUUGUUUUCUUGUAAAACAAAGAGCU